GAAAAUUUAACCUUUUAAAUUUUCAGACGACCAUAUUAAUGAAAUAUUUUUUCUAGAAUACGCCGAGCUGUGUAACAUUGCAUAUAAUAGGUAGAUUUUGAAAUCCAACACAAAUAACGCACAUCCAACACACCGCUAAACAGCCUUCUCAAGUUACAUUCGCACCACAUGAAUAUGAGCACGACCAAACACAAACACCAGCAAUUACAUUCGCGCCACAGGGAUAUGAGAACGGCCAAGACUUGCGGAAGAGGGAGAGGGAGAGUGCGGGGCGACCUGAGCGGAACACCGCCGCGCGCCCUAUAGCCCCUGUGCUCGCCACCUUGCCACCGUAGGAGUGUGCCGUCGGAAACUCGCAUGGGUGCAAGGACGGCGGCGGUGAGGCCUCCUUUCCGCACAUCCUUCCUCUCUCGGAGCCAUCGUUCCCCAUCGGAAACCCUAGCGCCGCCACCCCUUCCCCCUCCUCCUUCCCAUCUCGCUGUCGCCGGAGCUGGCCCGCGCAGAUGUCCGUGCGGUAGCUAGGAGGGCGGCGGCGGGGCGGAAUCCUCCGAUUCGGGCUGUUCUUGCCCGGAUCUGGCGAGUUGCGGCAGCAGCGGCAGGCGUGUGACCUAUGGUGGCAUCGGCGGCGGUCGCACGGAGCGAGGUGGCCCGGUCGACGGCGGCCCGCAGUGGUCGCGCGCGGGCGAGGUGGCCUGCGGUGACGUCGGCGACGGCCCUAUGGGGGCGGUGGGCUGCUGCGGCAGCGUUGGCGACGGCCGCACGGGGACGACGAGAGAAGAUUAGUAAAGUUAGUUUGGUUUAGUAGAGUAGCUCAAGCUUUUUAGUAGAGAUAUGUGUGAAACAAUCAGUAGAGUUUAUGAGGAUCAUUUAGUAGAGUUAGUUUUUGUUUAGUAGAGUUAGCUCAGAUACGAGAGUGCUAAACUUGCAAACUGGCUACUCAGCAUCCGGAUCAUUUGUGUCCUUAUUAAGCUUUCUAAUAAAGUCAGGUGGAUACCUUGAUUAAAAAAAAAAAGAACGGCCCAAAGUGAGAGGACAAAAGGUGAAGUUGCUGCUAGCCGCAGCGCACACUACCCCAGCCAUACCAUACCCCAAGGUUGAGUUUUUUUCCCCGUGUUUUAUAUCAGCCAUGCCCCCAACAAACUUGAGCUUUUCCCCUGUGUUUCGAUAUCAGCCAUGCC
rnacentral:lncRNA from 1 species